rnacentral:rRNA from 1 species
ACGCUCGACACCUACGUGAGGCAGCAGUGGGGAAUAUUGGGCAAUGGGCGCAAGCCUGACCCAGCAACGCCGCGUGAAGGAAGAAGGCCCUCGGGUUGUAAACUUCUUUUCUUAGGGACGAAGCAAGUGACGGUACCUAAGGAAUAAGCCACGGCUAACUACGUGUCCAGCAGCCGCGGUAAUCUGAGCGGGCUGGCAAGGC